AGUGGGAUAGCUGGAUCAAAUGGUGUGGUUCCAUUCCCAAUUUUCUGAGGAAUCUCCAUACUGCUUUUCAUAGUGGUUGCACCAAUUUACAGUUCCAUUAGUAAU
rnacentral:pre_miRNA from 1 species